UGCUUGUCUCAAAGAUUAAGCCAUGCAUGUCUAAGCUUGAGCCGAAAUAUGGUGAAGCCGCGAAUGGCUCAUUACAACAGCCGUUGUUUCUUGGACUGAUUACUUGGAUAACUGUGGUAAUUCUAGAGCUAAUACAGCAACAAAGCUCCAACCUCCGGGAGGAGCGCAUUUAUUAGACCAAACCAAUCAGGCUUUGCCUGGAAUCUGGUGACUCUGAAUAACUUUGCUGAUCACACGGUCUAGCACCGGUGACAUAUCUUUCAAGUGUCUGCCCUAUCAACUUUCGAUGGUAGUUUAUGUGCCUACCAUGGUUGUAACGGGUAACGGAGAAUAAGGGUUCGACUCCGGAAAGGGAGCCUGAGAAAUGGCUACCACAUCCAAGGAGG
rnacentral:rRNA from 1 species